GGAGGGGUGGGUGUGCUUUCUAGUAUAGGAACCCUGCUGAGUGGGUGUUCUGCCUCUCCCCCAGACCCCAUCUCUGUCUCAUUUCUGCUUCCUGACUCUAGCCCAAAGGGACCUAGGAUCUGCGGGCCUAACCCUGUCCAGGAUGCCAGCCCAUGAGAUGGUGCCACCCAUAUCCAGGGUGGUUCCUAUUUAGUUAAACCUUUCUGGAAGUACUCGUGCCAAUGCA